CAUGCAAGUCGAACGGUAACAGGAAGCAGCUUGCUGCUUCGCUGACGAGUGGCGGACGGGUGAGUAAUGUCUGGGAAACUGCCUGAUGGAGGGGGAUAACUACUGGAAACGGUAGCUAAUACCGCAUAACGUCGCAAGACCAAAGAGGGGGACCUUCGGGCCUCUUGCCAUCGGAUGUGCCCAGAUGGGAUUAGCUAGUAGGUGGGGUAACGGCUCACCUAGGCGACGAUCCCUAGCUGGUCUGAGAGGAUGACCAGCCACACUGGAACUGAGACACGGUCCAGACUCCUACGGGAGGCAGCAGUGGGGAAUAUUGCACAAUGGGCGCAAGCCUGAUGCAGCCAUGCCGCGUGUAUGAAGAAGGCCUUCGGGUUGUAAAGUACUUUCAGCGGGGAGGAAGGCGAUAAGGUUAAUAACCUUGUCGAUUGACGUUACCCGCAGAAGAAGCACCGGCUAACUCCGUGCCAGCAGCCGCGGUAAUACGGAGGGUGCAAGCGUUAAUCGGAAUUACUGGGCGUAAAGCGCACGCAGGCGGUCUGUCAAGUCGGAUGUGAAAUCCCCGGGCUCAACCUGGGAACUGCAUUCGAAACUGGCAGGCUAGAGUCUUGUAGAGGGGGGUAGAAUUCCAGGUGUAGCGGUGAAAUGCGUAGAGAUCUGGAGGAAUACCGGUGGCGAAGGCGGCCCCCUGG
rnacentral:rRNA from 1 species